rnacentral:tRNA from 1 species
GGGGCUUUAGCUUAAUUAAAGCAUCUGGGUUGCAUUCAGAAUAUGUGGGGUUAUCUUGCAAGUCCUA